rnacentral:lncRNA from 1 species
ACAAUAUUCAAUUGAUGAUUAACAAAGUUUGUUUCUGCCUCCAUUACUUUGUUCUUUUGAGACUCCUGGAAUAAAUUAGCCAGAUGCCUCGGCAUACGACAGGUACGCGACCAAUGCCCUUUCAUCCCACACCUAAAACAAACAUCUGGUUUGUUCUUUAUCGGUGCUGCAUUUUCUUUAUUUUUACCCGACCCAGACACUUGCCACUUCUAGUGGCCUGAAUUUUCGCGGUUUUGGAAUUUGUUGUUACGAUGGCCUCGUUUAUUCUUUCGUCCCCAAGUCUUCUUAUUGUAUGACCAUCUAUUGUCACGUUUAUUCUGCUUGAAUGACGUGCUGUUAAUAUCUGGCAAUGGGGUAGCACCCGUUGGCCGUACUUGAUGGUUUUUCAACAACAAUUCAAUAUUCUUUUCUGCAACCAGGAGGAUAGACAAUAAGUCACUAAAUUUUGUGAACUUACUCUGUCUAUAUUGUUGCAACAGAAUCAUGUUGGUGGGAUGAAAAGUUGAGAGCGUUUUCUCUAACAUUUGGGAUUCAGAAAUUGGAUCUCCGUACAAAGCCAAAGUAGAGGUUAUUCUAUAAACAUUGGAACUAUAUUUCGUAAUUGAUUUGUAAUCUUGUAGCCUUAAAUUAAGCCACUCAAAUUUGGCAUUAGGGAGAACAACCAAUUUUUGGUGGUCAAAUCUUUUCUUAAGUUGUGUCCAUAAAGAUAAAGGAUCUUUGACUAUUAAAUACUCAGUCUUUAAUCCAUCAUCAAUAUGGUGACGAAGAAAAAUUAUGGAUUUUGCAUUUUGUGCCGAAGUAGCUGUAUUUCCUGAUUCAAUGGUCUUUUCUAACUCAUUUGCACUAAGGUGCAAUUCUGCAUCAAGUGCCCAAACCAAAUAAUUGUCUCCAGAUAUUUUUAAAAUAGAAAAAUCUAUUUUUUCCAAGUUUGCCAUCUAUUCUGGGUUAAAACACAAUUUUAUUAUUUAUUAAAACAAUAAAUAAUUGCAUGUAUGAAAUAUGAAAAUAAACUACGUCACGAUCUCAAGUGGUGAUAAAAUGCAAAUAUAAAUAUUCUUAUAUUUAUGUUAUUAACAUAAUGCAAAUGGAUCUUCACCCGGCAUGCGGUAGUUCGCAUAGACAGAUUAUUCCAACAGAAUAAUAUAUAAUGGAAUAACAGAAAAAUUUCACUAUGCAUACAAUAGACUGACCGCACAGACAGGUUAUUCCCAACAGAAUAAUAAAUACGGAAUAAUAAAUAAUGGAACCAGGUCAGGUGAAAUUCACACCGACAGGAUAUUCCGACAGAAUAUUAAAUGCGGAAUAAUAAAUAAUGGAACCAGGUCAGGUGAAAUUCACACUGACAGGAUAUUCCGACAGAAUAUUAAAUGCGGAAUAAUAAAUAAAAAGGUUCCCACCAAGUCUUGUAAGAUUAACAAAGAUAGAUGGUACCAUUGUAAAUAACAGAAUUUAAUGACAAUUAUAAGAAUAAAAUUAUAUUAUUGGUGGUAUAGCCAAAACGAUAAUAUAAUAAUAAAUUGCAAGAAUUUAAUUUUACCGUCUCAGUUGGUUAGAGCUUCGUGCUGAUAACGUGUUAUAAAACUUUAGUAAAGUGUAUAAAUAUACUCGUAUAAUUGCUGCAUAAAUUUAGAGAGAAUAAGCAAGAGAAAAGAAUAGAGAGAGAAAUUCUUUCAGAGGAGUUCUCUACUUAUUUCCUUCAAUCUCAUUCCCUUUAUAUAGGAGAUGAGAGGAGUCAGGGGGGAGUAAUCCAAG